rnacentral:rRNA from 1 species
GACGAACGCUGGCGGCGUGCUUCACACAUGCAAGUCGAACGGAGUGGCGAACGGGUGAGUAACACGUGGGUGAUCUGCCUUGCACUUCGGGAUAAGCUUGGGAAACUGGGUCUAAUACCGGAUAGUGCAAGAUGAGCUCGCGGCCUAUCAGCUUUGUGGGGGGGUAAUUUCCUACGAAGGCGUCGACGGGUAGCCGGCCUGAGAGGGUGUACGGCCACAUUGUGACUGAGAUACGGCCCAGACUCCUACGGGAGGCAGCAGUGGGGAAUAUUGCACAAUGGGAGGAAGCCUGAUGCAGCGACGCCGCGUGGGGGAUGAAGGCCUUCGGGUUGUAAACUCCUUUCGACAGGGACGCGGUACCUGUAUAAGAAGCACCGGCUAAAUACGUGCCAGCAGCCGCGGUAAUAC